GCUGAAGAAAGAAAGACAUGAACAUCUUGGAUGACAUGGAGAUGAGUAAAUUAUCAGUAUCAAUCAAAGGAUGUGCCGUCGCAGCCUCCAUUCCUUCGAUCACUAUGAUUAUCAUCAUGCUUUUACUAUAAUUGAUUUUCACGAAAUAACAGCUGUGAGUGUAUGAUUGACGCUGCUGUAAGACUGAUGCCAGAGUGCCUGGACCAAGAAAGGGCGACUCUUUGAGAAAACAAAGGAAAUUAACAUUUGAACUCUCUCUUGCAAAAUUAACAUCCCCUUCCGAGACGCAAUCACACUGAGUUAAUCACACCUCAGCAUCUGCCUUAACUUCCUUCACCCUCUUCCCCCAUCUCUUCUCUCUACAUGCAGAGAUGACAUGAAAUUCACCCAAAAUCUAUAUGGUUUAAUGUGAACAAUCAUCAAAGAAUGCUAUACAAUGUUUAGUAUUGUUUGAAAUGUCUCAGUGCAACUGGUACAAUGGUCUCGUCUACAUGUAAGUAAACUAAAGGUAUUAAAGGUUUUAAGAGUUUACAGAUACUUUGGUUGCAACUGUGGGUGUGCCCCUUUCCCAGGGUCCUUCAUCCAAACUACCUCCUCUUCCACAGCAAGGUGCGAACCCCUGAGGUCUGUGACCCUAGUCAAUGCAAAUUCUGAUUGUAAGUUCAUGCCCCACAUUGGGGGAUGUUUUGUCUUGGUCUGAGUAUUUAAAGAAAUGUUGCAAAAGGCUCGGCACAACUCUGUAUUCAGAUGAAGCUCAGCAAUGUGUAUUUUUCAUGUCAGGUAUGCAUCUUACUCUAUUUCUGAGCAUUUGAUGUUUUGUAUUGACCACCUUUGAAUUGAUUAUGUAAUUGGCAUGAUACAUUUACCUGACUAAUAAAUUGCCACAUUUGAUUUUA